UACGUAGGGGGCGAGCGUUGUCCGAAUUUACUGGGCGUAAAGCGCGCGUAGGCGGUUUACGAGGUCAGAUGUGAAAUCUCCGGGCUCAACUCGGAAACUGCAUUUGAAACCUGUAGGCUUGAGUAUAGGAGAGGAGAGUGGAAUUUCUGGUGUAGCGGUGAAAUGCGUAGAUAUCAGGAGGAACACCCGUGGCGAAGGCGGCUCUCUGGCCUAUAACUGACGCUGAGGUGCGAAAGCUGGGGGAG
rnacentral:rRNA from 1 species